CAUUGAAAUAAAUUUUGAUUUUGUGCGAAAAGAUGGAAUUUGGAUCGACCAUGAAGGCAAUGAGAGCAAUAUCAAUGAUGGUAUUGGGACAUCUUCUUCAACAAACUAAUAUUCAAGAUGCAAAUAUCCUUAUUCAAGGGUUCCAGGAGUUGGAUUUGGAAAUUGCUCGAGAUAUGAUAUUAUUCAUUCGAAUUAUGUUGUUUUGUUUUGUUUUGUUGUGUUGUGUUUUGAGUAUGUACUCUUUUUCCUUCUUAGACUUUUUCCCACUGAGGUUUUUUAUCUAAGAAGGUUUUAACGAGGCAUAUUCUGGAUUGGUGUUUUACCAAUUCCAAUUUAGAAUUUAGUUUUCAUUUGGAUUGUUUGUAAACUCUUGUGUAUUCAUUUCUUUAAUCAGAAUAUAUAUCUACUUUAUUU